CUCUCUGCUCUGCUGUCAUUUCCUACUUGCAAAGCCACCAACAAGUUUCAAGCACUCUGAUUCUGAAUUUUGAAACCGGUGCAGUUUAAAGCAGAGUCCAUGGAGUUGCAGGAGCCAUUGGCAUAUCCUAAUCUCAGACCCAAGCUUGUGUCCACCUGUCUCUUUGCAGAGCAGUGUUGUGACAUAACUCUGCACCACCAUUUCAGAAUGGACAAAGGGUAGAAAGGGAGAAUUGUGAACCAUACUUUAAAGAGAAAUGUUUCAAAAUGCAUUGAAAAGAGUCAUAGCAACUGCUUUUAUUUGUGAUUGUCAGAAUAAGGAGUACAGAGAGGAUAAAAUUGUUUUGUUUUCCAUUUUAACUGCAUAUGAUUAGUUUUUGCUUAUGUCAGUGUUUUUUACAGCUCAAAUAAUGUUUUGUACCCACCUAGCCUUGUUGUUGCUGUUGUUGUUGUUGCUACCCUAGCAACUCAAGAGCUUAAUACUAUUUGAUGUGUGCAGCUUAGAACCUGGACUUUUGUCUUUACCAAAAUUAAAAUUUUGAUCAGGUAGUAGUUACAUAACAAUGCAUUUUUUGUUUUAAUCCAGCUCUUGCAUUGUACAGGUAGUGAAGUUUGACACCUUGUUUCCAUGUUUUCCACUGCACAAACACAUUAAACAAGUGCACAUAGAAACUACAUGACAGUUAUCAUAAUACUCCCAGGAGACUUAGGCAGAAAGACUGGAUUGCACAGAAGAUAGGCAGAGGAAGAAACUGUAGGGCAAGGUAUGCCACUUCUGAAAGCUGAAUAUUUUCUAAACCAUGUACUUGUCAACACUGGUUUCCUCUUUCGGUGCAAAUAUCUUGGGUCAAAUCCAGCUUUAUUCAUGAAAGGUACUGAACUCUAUCAUCUAAAUCAAUGAAUACUACAAACACUGAUUUUAACAAGAUGCAAUGAAUCAUACUUUCAAGUGUUCAGCCCAUCUCAAGGCUUAUCUCAUUAUGUGAUUAAUCAGGCAGAAUUUGAAUUGUAACAUCUUUGCUAAUGUAGCAAAAUAUGCACUAAUGGUAAUGAAAAAAAAAUAAAAAAAUUCCAGGAUCUUUUCA
rnacentral:lncRNA from 1 species